ACGAAUUCCUGCUCCCAUCAUUUAUUGUGUCAGUGGAUACCUGGGCCUCUCCAUGUAGCUGUAUCUGUUAAUGGCUUCUCAAGUUCUUUAGCAGCUUAAAACAACCUAUCUUUCAGGUGAAGUAAGAGAAGAUUGGAGGAUAUCUGAUGUUCGCAGCAAACAAUCUACUGGAGGAACUCAGGGGGUCGAGCAGCAUCUGUCGGAGGAAAGGAAUUGUCAACGUUUCGGGUUGAAACCCUGCAUCAAGACCCAGAACUUGCCUGACCAGCUAAGUGAUCCCAGCAUCUUCUGUUUUUAAAUCCACCUCAGAAUCCUUCAUCAACAGUGUGGUCACCAAAGGAAGAGUGCAGUGGAACAAGAAGAAACACUUUUUUGUUUCUGACACACAAGCAAUGGAAAUAGAUUUUACCCACUUCAUAUCAAAAAGUCGUAGCUCUAGUGGACUUCCUGUCAACAAGGGGCAAAAAAUUACCUGGGGUAGCUGAGAAUAUGGUGUUGAAUUAC